rnacentral:rRNA from 1 species
GAGUUUGAUCCUGGCUCAGGAUGAACGCUGGCGGCGUGCUUAACACAUGCAAGUCGAACGGUGAAGCCAAGCUUGCUUGGUGGAUCAGUGGCGAACGGGUGAGUAACACGUGAGCAACCUGCCCUGGACUCUGGGAUAAGCGCUGGAAACGGCGUCUAAUACUGGAUAUGAGACGUGAUCGCAUGGUCGUGUUUGGAAAGAGUUUUUCGGUCUGGGAUGGGCUCGCGGCCUAUCAGCUUGUUGGUGAGGUAAUGGCUCACCAAGGCGUCGACGGGUAGCCGGCCUGAGAGGGUGACCGGCCACACUGGGACUGAGACACGGCCCAGACUCCUACGGGAGGCAGCAGUGGGGAAUAUUGCACAAUGGGCGGAAGCCUGAUGCAGCAACGCCGCGUGAGGGAUGACGGCCUUCGGGUUGUAAACCUCUUUUAGCAGGGAAGAAGCGUAAGUGACGGUACCUGCAGAAAAAGCGCCGGCUAACUACGUG